GGAAGGAUCAUUACCAAUAUCUGGGAUGCAAAGACACAGGCUCCCGAUAAAACACAUUUAUGCGUAUCCUCCCAUGUUGCUUUCCCAGGCCUGCGGCCACUGCUGCCAGCCAUGCCGUUUUUCGGUUACAUGGUUGAGGUGCUUGGGGAAGGGCUAAUUAUCAAACUUUACUUCACCUUAUUGUCUGAGAAGGCCAUGUGCCGUAAUCUUUAAACAUGUUAAAACUUUCAACAACGGAUCUCUUGGCUCUCGCAUCGAUGAAGAACGCAGCGAAAUGCGAUAAGUAAUGUGAAUUGCAGAAUUCAGUGAAUCAUCGAAUCUUUGAACGCACAUUGCGCCCUUUGGUAUUCCUUAGGGCAUGCCUGUUCGAGCGUCGCAAAAACCCAGAUCACCUAGAGUGUGGUAUUGGCAGAAGUGGGCGGGGCUAUCAGCGCUGCUGCCACUCUGCUGGAAUGAAUAGGCUGGAAAAGUAGAUCAUAGCAACAGACUUUCACAGUAUUUUGAAAUGCUAAAUUAGUUUGAAGCUGAUCGGAACCUAAGCCAUUUGACCCCCAUCCUGCGUAAAGCAGUAAGGUUGACCUCGGAUCAGGUAGGGAUACCCGCUGAACUUAAGCAUAUCAAUAAGCGGAGGAAAAGAAACCAACAGGGAUUGCCUUAGUAACGGCGAGUGAAGCGGCAAAAGCUCAAAUUUGAAAUCUAACGCCUCUGGUGUUCGAGUUGUAAUUUGGAGAGGCAUCUUCCGGAGUGGCCCAGCCUAUGUACCUUGGAACAGGACGUCAUAGAGGGUGAGAAUCCCGUUCUUGGCUGGAUGUUCACUCCCGUAUGUAGUGUCUUCUACGAGUCGAGUUGUUUGGGAAUGCAGCUCAAAAUGGGUGGUAAAUUUCAUCUAAAGCUAAAUAUUGGCGAGAGACCGAUAGCGCACAAGUAGAGUGAUCGAAAGAUGAAAAGCACUUUGAAA
rnacentral:rRNA from 1 species